GACGAACGCUGGCGGCAUGCCUAACACAUGCAAGUCGAACGGAACUUGUUGAAUGAAGUUUUCGGAUGGAUUUCAGCAAGUUUAGUGGCGGACGGGUGAGUAACGCGUGAGCAACCUGCCUUUCAGAGGGGGACAACAGUUGGAAACGACUGCUAACACCGCAUAACAUGGCGAGACCGCAUGACCUUGCCAUCAAAAAUUUAUUGGUAUGAGAUGGGCCCGCGUCUGAUUAGCUAGUUGGUGAGGUAACGGCCCACCAAGGCGACGAUCAGUAGCCGGCCUGAGAGGGUGACCGGCCACAUUGGGACUGAGACACGGCCCAAACUCCUACGGGAGGCAGCAGUGGGGAAUAUUGGACAAUGGGGGAAACCCUGAUCCAGCAACGCCGCGUGAGUGAAGAAGUAUUUCGGUAUGUAAAGCUCUAUCAGCAGGGAAGAAAAUGACGGUACCUGACUAAGAAGCCCCGGCUAACUACGUG
rnacentral:rRNA from 1 species